GCAAGAGAAGAGCAGAAGGCCACUGCUGGGAUGGGGCCAGGGCCACACGUGAACACCCCAGCACGUUCCAGAGUUGAGGAUGCAAACACCCACAAAAUCAGAUGGGAAGUGGAAAAGGGUCAGGGUUCCUCCCACUGGAAGAGCCCAGAAGAGCUAGUGGUCACCACUGCGGGGGGGUUAGGGGGGUUGUGCAAUGACUGCGAGUCUGGGAGUCUCUGGGCUUGGCUCCCGGACGCCAGAAAGGAAACCCCACGCGUCAGGCCAGGGUGGCAGUGCGGCAGUUGGUUCGAGGCCAGGCUUGGGUUUAAGGGCUGCAGAAGGAGCUGCAGGAUAAGAAAUUAGUUGGUCCCAUUGCUGUCUCUCUUGAUUCUUUUGCUGGUGACACUGGGCAUGUGGCAGGUCCAGAGAUUUCUCUGUCGGGGCUGAAGGACCCUUGCUGACAAGUGGGAGAGGGCACUUUGCAGUAGGAGCCACCAGUGCUUCGAGAAGGACUCCAGGAUUCCUGUCUCUUGUGAUCUCUGGAAGCCAGCCCCGCUCCUGAUUGGAUGGGAAUUCCUUGUUUUGUCCCCUGGGUUUCUGCAAGCUGAGCAGGGCACUGAGAUGUGCAAGGACUCCCAUCUACUCAUUACACAACAUGAAAAUGGAACACGUCUCUAUCAGCCUCAUCGGAAAUCUUGACAGAUGCUG